UACGUAGGGGGCGAGCGUUGUCCGGAAUUAUUGGGCGUAAAGAGCGUGUAGGCGGUUCGGUAAGUCUGCCGUGAAAACCUGGGGCUCAACCCUGGGCGUGCGGUGGAUACUGCCGGGCUAGAGGGUGGUAGAGGCGAGUGGAAUUCCUGGUGUAGCGGUGAAAUGCGCAGAUAUCAGGAGAACACCCUGUGCGAAGGCGGCUCUCUGGGACGGUACUGACGCUGAGAGCGAAAGCGUGGGAGCGAACGGG
rnacentral:rRNA from 1 species